rnacentral:lncRNA from 1 species
UACAAACCCAUCUUCUACAGCAAGAAACGAACUGAAAAAAGAAACAAGGACACAAAUGAGAAAACCAGAAUUUUACGAAGAUGGCACCAUUCUGGAAAAUCCACUCAUAGCACUUUCAGUAAUAGAGGUAAAUGAAAGUCCUGUAUGCUAACAAGAGGCUGUUGAAACAGACUUGAGCCACACCAUGACCACCUGACCUGAGUUUUCUCACUCCAUAACAGUAGGAUUUCAGUCAUGCAACUUAAAAAAUAAUAAUAAUUAAAAAAAAAAAAUUAGUCAUCUAAUAUUAUUAGAUAAGCAGUCUACGCUCCCUUAGCAGACCAGAGAUUUUCAUAAUUUGAAAGAUA